rnacentral:piRNA from 1 species
UGUGAUCUCAGGAUCUCGCUG